AGCAGCCGCGGUAAUUCCAGCUCCAAUAGCGUAUAUUAAAGUUGCUGCAGUUAAAAAGCUCGUAGUUGAAUUUCGGGACCAUCAUGUCGGUCGUGCCUCGGUACGUACUGGCAUUGUUGGUUUCUCCCUUCUGACGAACCAUGAUGUCAUUUAUUUGGUGUUGUGGGGAAUCAGGACUGUUACCUUGAAAAAAUUAGAGUGUUUAAAGCAGGCUCACGCUUGAAUACAUUAGCAUGGAAUAAUGAAAUAGGACGUUUGAUUCUAUUUUGUUGGUUUCUAGGGUCGACGUAAUGAUUAAUAGGGAUAGUUGGGGGCAUUAGUAUUCAAUUGUCAGAGGUGAAAUUCUUGGAUUUAUUGAAGACUAACUACUGCGAAAGCAUUUGCCAAGGGUGUUUUCAUUAAUCAAGAACGAAAGUUAGGGGAUCGAAGACGAUCAGAUACCGUCGUAGUCUUAACCAUAAACUAUGCCGACUAGGGAUCGGAUGAUGUUAAUUUUUUAAUGACUCAUUCGGCGCCUUAA
rnacentral:rRNA from 1 species